rnacentral:rRNA from 1 species
AGAGUUUGAUCCUGGCUCAGAUUGAACGCUGGCGGCAGGCUUAACACAUGCAAGUCGAGCGGAAACGAGAGGUAGCUUGAUACUUCGGCGUCCGAGCGGCGGACGGGUGAGUAAUGCUUGGGAAUAUGCCUUUGAGUGGGGGACAACAGUUGGAAACGACUGCUAAUACCGCAUAAUGUCUACGGACCAAAGGGGGGGGACGCUUCGGCACCUCUCGCUCAUAGAUUAGCCCAAGUGAGAUUAGCUAGUUGGUAAGGUAAAGGCUUACCAAGGCGACGAUCUCUAGCUGGUUUGAGAGGAUGAUCAGCCACACUGGGACUGAGACACGGCCCAGACUCCUACGGGAGGCAGCAGUGGGGAAUAUUGCACAAUGGGCGAAAGCCUGAUGCAGCCAUGCCGCGUGUGUGAAGAAGGCCUUCGGGUUGUAAAGCACUUUCAGUUGUGAGGAAAGGUAAGUAGUUAAUAACUGCUUGCUGUGACGUUAGCAACAGAAGAAGCACCGCUAACU